rnacentral:rRNA from 1 species
GAUGAACGCUGGCGGCGUGCUUAAUACAUGCAAGUCGAGCGCACGGACGAGAAUCUUGCUUUUCUCAUGUUAGCGGCGGACGGGAGAGUAAAAAGUGGAUAACCUACCUAUAAGAAUGAGAUAACUUCGGGAAUCCGGAGCUAAUACCGGAUAAUAUUUUGAACCGUAUGUUUCAAUAGUGAAAGACGGUCUUGCUGUCACUUAUAGAUGGAUCCGCGCUUCAUUAGCUAGUUGGUAAGGUAACGUCUUACCAAUGCAACGAUGCAUAGCCGACCUGAGAGGGUGAGCGGCCACGCUGGAACGGAGGCACGGUCCAGAGGCCUACGGGAUGCGGCAGUAGCGAAUCCUCCGCAAUGGGCGAAAGCCUGACGGAGCAACGGCGCGUGAGUGAUGAAGGUCUUCGGAGCGUAAGACGCUGUUUUUAGGGUAGAACAUAUGUGUAAGUAACUGAGCACAUCUUGACGGUACCUAAUCAGAAAGCCACGGCUAACUACGUG